GAUGAACGCUGGCGGCGUGCCUAAUACAUGCAAGUCGAGCGAAUGGAUUAAGAGCUUGCUCUUAUGAAGUUAGCGGCGGACGGGUGAGUAACACGUGGGUAACCUGCCCAUAAGACUGGGAUAACUCCGGGAAACCGGGGCUAAUACCGGAUAACAUUUUGAACCGCAUGGUUCGAAAUUGAAAGGCGGCUUCGGCUGUCACUUAUGGAUGGACCCGCGUCGCAUUAGCUAGUUGGUGAGGUAACGGCUCACCAAGGCAACGAUGCGUAGCCGACCUGAGAGGGUGAUCGGCCACACUGGGACUGAGACACGGCCCAGACUCCUGCGGGAGGCAGCAGUAGGGAAUCUUCCGCAAUGGACGAAAGUCUGACGAGGCAACGCCGCGUGAGUGAUGAAGGCUUUCGGGUCGUAAAACUCUGUUGUUAGGGAAGAACAAGUGCUAGUUGAAUAAGCUGGCACCUUGACGGUACCUAACCAGAAAGCCACGGCUAACUACGUGCCAGCCGCCGCCGUAA
rnacentral:rRNA from 1 species